UACGAAGGGGGCUAGCGUUGCUCGGAAUUACUGGGCGUAAAGGGCGCGUAGGCGGCUUUGUUAGUCAGGCGUGAAAUUCCUGGGCUCAACCUGGGGACUGCGCUUGAUACGGCAGGGCUAGAGGGCGGAAGAGGCUCGCGGAAUUCCCAGUGUAGAGGUGAAAUUCGUAGAUAUUGGGAAGAACACCGGUGGCGAAGGCGGCGAGCUGGUCCGUUACUGACGCUGAGGCGCGACAGCGUGGGGAGCAAACAGG
rnacentral:rRNA from 1 species